GAUGAACGCUAGCUACAGGCUUAACACAUGCAAGUCGAGAGGAAACGACAUCGAAAGCUUGCUUUUGAUGGGCGUCGACCGGCGCACGGGUGAGUAACGCGUAUCCAACCUGCCCACCACUUGGGGAUAACCUUGCGAAAGUAAGACUAAUACCCAAUGAUAUCUCUAGAAGACAUCUGAGAGAGAUUAAAGAUUUAUCGGUGAUGGAUGGGGAUGCGUCUGAUUAGCUUGUUGGCGGGGUAACGGCCCACCAAGGCGACGAUCAGUAGGGGUUCUGAGAGGAAGGUCCCCCACAUUGGAACUGAGACACGGUCCAAACUCCUACGGGAGGCAGCAGUGAGGAAUAUUGGUCAAUGGGCGAGAGCCUGAACCAGCCAAGUAGCGUGCAGGAAGACGGCCCUAUGGGUUGUAAACUGCUUUUAUAAGGGAAUAAAGUGAGUCUCGUGAGACUUUUUGCAUGUACCUUAUGAAUAAGGACCGGCUAAUUCCGUGCCAGCAGCCGCAGUAACAC
rnacentral:rRNA from 1 species